GUUACCAUAUGUCGGAAAGUCAUUGAUGGUGCAAAAUAACAUGACAUGAAGCUUGAAAGUUUCAUUAACAAAUCCGUCAAAUACUUCAACACCCUGGUCCCACAUUAACUUAAAAUCUUCAAUUAGAGGACUUAGAUAAACAUCAAUAUCAUUCCCUGGCUGUUUCAGACCGGAUAUCAUCAUAGACAACAUCAUGUAUUUUCGCUUCAUGCACAAUCCAGGAGGUAAGUUGUAAAUAACUAGUAAAACAG
rnacentral:lncRNA from 1 species